rfam:Schistosoma mattheei strain Denwood, Zambia genome assembly, scaffold: SMTD_scaffold0004779
AUCCAGUUGACGAGUCCCAAAUAGGAUGAAGUGUCACGUGUCCUAGAU